GUAACCUUCCAGGUUUGUAUCUUGCUCUUCUAUUGUUUAUAGUCAUUUGCUGUUUCAAACUUUGUCUCCAUUGAACUUGAUAUAUUAACAUAUAGUUUUUUAGUAUGUAUCUUAACUUGUAAGCUUAGGCUGUGUGCGGUAUCACUAUUGUUUUUGAUUUUUCAUUUUUUUUAUGCUAAAAAAUAUGCAAUGUGUUUGUUUAAAAUGCCGUGUUUUCAUUUUUUAGCUCUUUUUACCAAAUGUUUUUAAAACACGCAGUGGAAAUAGGAAAUCCACAAAUCUUGAUUUUUGUUUCUAUGUAUUUAUUUUCUUCCUACACACUUUCUCUCCCUCUUGUCUCACUUCAUCAACACUAUGGCAAUUUUAAUCAAGAGCACUUGAAGAUUUUCCAUUUUCCUUCACCUUUUCCCAUUCCCUUUGAUUUUCCCUUGUUCAUUGUUGAUUGAUCAAGGAAUGAAGCCUAAUAAAUGCGCUGUCAAAGAUAAGGGUCCUCCCACAUAUAAUUGUAGACAUAGGGCCUGUUUGGCAUUACUGUUG
rnacentral:misc_RNA from 1 species